CCCAUUAGGGCAAUAAUGCGCAGCUCUCCAAGCUUUCAAACGGCACAGUUUAGAAUCUUAUAGAAAUAGAAAAAAUAAAACCCUAAACAAGAGAAAUCAGCCCCCAUUUCUUUCUUCCCUUUUUUCAAAAAAACUGAGGAUCCCAAAUCCUUUCAACCCCUUUUCUCGGCCGCUCCUAAUCACCUCCAUGGCCGGUGGCCGGCGUCGUGCGACGGAAUCCCCGAUACACGCAUUUGAGGUAUAUUCAGAGUGCCUGAACUUUGAAAAGGGAAGUCGAGGAGAAAACAAGGUGUCAGAGGCGUGACGAUGGCGUGCGAGGAGAUGGAACGGCGCGCAUGGGUAGAGGCGGCGACCAACGGCGCCCUAGGGUUUCUCCUUUUUUGCUGCAACAAUUUGUUUGUGGGCUAGGGUUGUAUUGGGCUGGCAUAAUUGGGUUUUGGGUUUAUUUUAUUUUGGGUCUGUUUUUUUGGGUUUGUAAAUGAACUGUUAACAUUUUGAGUCUUAUUUGUUUAUUUCCGGGCUUUUAGCUUGGGAAAAAAUUGGGCUAUAACAAAUAUUGCUAUUUUAAUCA